UACGUAGGGUGCGAGCGUUAAUCGGAAUUACUGGGCGUAAAGUGUGCGCAGGCGGCCGCGCAAGUCGAACGUGAAAUCCCCGGGCUCAACCCGGGAACUGCGUCCGAUACUGGAAGGCUUGAAUCCGGGAGAGGGAUGCGGAAUUCCAGGUGUAGCGGUGAAAUGCGUAGAUAUCUGGAGGAACACCGGUGGCGAAGGCGGCAUCCUGGACCGGCAUUGACGCUGAGGCGCGAAAGCUAGGGGAGCAAACGGG
rnacentral:rRNA from 1 species